ACUGUUUGCGUUCCCGGCGUGGCCCCAGCUCCACCCAUAGUCAGCGCUUAAUAUCUAUUCCACCUCGUUCUCCCCCUCCCCCACUAAAUAGUUGGAAAGGAACAGCCACCUACUCCGGGUAGCUUCUCUGAAGCCAACAAAACUAAGGCGGGGCGGAAUAAAAACACAGAAGUAUCUUUUGACCUAAGGUUGUAUUGCAAAGAGAAUGCAGUUGGAAGGCUGUGCAGUAUUUGGAUAUAAAUCUUAAAAGGAAUCUAAACUUCUUGUGCCUCAUAUUCUGUGGAUCAUUAGGAGAAAUAUAUACAAAACAAGAUACUAAUUGAUAUUGGGAGAAGUGCAUACUCUCAUCUCUGCUUGCAAGAAAGUGACAUUCUGUACCCUUCUAAAGGACAAUACAUCAAGGCUGACUGUGCAGCUAAAUUGAACAGCAGUCGUACCA